rnacentral:rRNA from 1 species
ACGCUGGCGGCACGCCUAACACAUGCAAGUCGAACGAAGUAGCAAUACUUAGUGGCAGACGGGUGAGUAACAUGUAGGUAUCUGCCCUUUGGCCUGGAAUAACACGAGGAAACUUGUGCUAAUACCGGAUAAGUCUUUACAGAGAAAGCUUUAUGCACCAUUGGAUGAGCCUGCACUUGAUUAGUUUGUUGGUGGGGUAAUGGCCUACCAAGACUGUGAUCAAUAGCUGAUUUGAGAGGAUGAUCAGCCACAUUGGGACUGAGACACGGCCCAAACUCCUACGGGAGGCAGCAGUGGGGAAUCUUGCACAAUGGAGGAAACUCUGAUGCAGCGAUGCCGCGUGAGUGAAGAAGGCCCUUGGGUUGUAAAGCUCUUUCGUCGGGGAAGAAAAUGACUGUACCCGAAUAAGAAGGUCCGGCUAACUUCGUGCCAGCAGCCGCGGUAAUACGAAGGGACCUAGCGUAGUUCGGAAUUACUGGGCUUAAAGAGUUCGUAGGUGGUUGAAAAAGUUAGUGGUGAAAUCCCAGAGCUUAACUCUGGAACUGCCAUUAAAACUUUUCAGCUAGAGUAUGAUAGAGGAAAGCAGAAUUUCUAGUGUAGAGGUGAAAUUCGUAGAUAUUAGAAAGAAUACCAAUUGCGAAGGCAGCUUUCUGGAUCAUUACUGACACUGAGGAACGAAAGCAUGGGUAGCGAAGAGGAUUAGAUACCCUCGUAGUCCAUGCCGUAAACGAUGUGUGUUAGACGUUGGAAAUUUAUUUUCAGUGUCGCAGCGAAAGCGAUAAACACACCGCCUGGGGAGUACGACCGCAAGGUUAAAACUCAAAUGAAUUGACGGGGACCCGCACAAGUAGUGGAGCAUGUGGUUUAAUUCGAAGAUACGCGCAGAACCUUACCAACACUUGACAUGUUCGUCGCGACUCUAAGAGAUUAGAGUUUUCGGCUCGGCCGGACGAAACACAGGUGCUGCAUGGCUGUCGUCAGCUCGUGUCGUGAGAUGUUGGGUUAAGUCCCGCAACGAGCGCAACCCUCACUUUUAGUUGCCAUCAUUAAGUUGGGCACUCUGAAAGAACUGCCAGUGAUAAGCUGGAGGAAGGUGGGGAUGACGUCAAGUCCUCAUGGCCCUUACGUGUUGGGCUACACACGUGCUACAAUGGUAUCUACAACAGGAAGCAAGACUGCGAAGUUAAGCAAAUCCCUAAAAGAUACCUCAGUUCGGAUUGCACUCUGCAACUCGAGUGCAUGAAGCUGGAAUUACUAGUAAUCGUGGAUCAGCGUGCCACGGUGAAUGCGUUCCCGGGUCUUGUACACACCGC